rnacentral:rRNA from 1 species
GGAAUAUUGCGCAAUGGACGAAAGUCUGACGCAGCGACGCCUCGUGAGGGACGAAGGUCUUCGGAUUGUAAACCUCUUUCAGCAGGGACGAAGCGAAAGUGACGGUACCUGCAGAAGAAGCACCGGCUAACUAUGUGCCAGCAGCCGCGGUAAUACAUAGGGUGCAAGCGUUGUCCGGAUUUAUUGGGCGUAAAGAGUUCGUAGGCGGUUUCUCGCGUCGGAUGUGAAAACUCAGGGCUCAACCCUGAGCCUGCAUUCGAUACGGGGAAACUUGAGGACGGCAGGGGAGACUGGAACUCCUGGUGUAGCGGUGGAAUGCGCAGAUAUCAGGAAGAACACCAAUGGCGAAGGCAGGUCUCUGGGCCGAUUCUGACGCUGAGGAACGAAAGCGUGGGGAGCAAACAGGAUUAGAUACCCUGGUAGUCCACGCCGUAAACGAUGGACGCUAGGUGUGGGGAACAUUCCACGUUCUCUGCGCCGCAGCCAACGCAUUAAGCGUCCCGCCUGGGGAGUACGACCGCAAGGUUAAAACUCAAAUGAAUUGACGGA